rnacentral:rRNA from 1 species
UACGUAGGGGCUAGCGUUGUCCGGAUUUAUUGGGCGUAAAGAGCGUGUAGGCGGCCAUGUAGGUCCGGUGUGAAAACUCGAGGCUUAACCUCGAGAUGUCAUCGGAAACCAUUUGGCUAGAGUCCGGAAGAGGAGAGUGGAAUUCCGUGGUGUAGCGGUGAAAUGCGCAGAUAUCAGGAAGAACACCAAUGGCGAAAGCAGCUCUCUGGGACGGUACUGACGCUGAGACGCGAAAGCGUGGGGAGCGAACAGG